rnacentral:rRNA from 1 species
AGUGAACGCUGGCGGUAGGCCUAACACAUGCAAGUCGAACGGCAGCACAGUAAGAGCUUGCUCUUACGGGUGGCGAGUGGCGGACGGGUGAGGAAUACAUCGGAAUCUACUUUUUCGUGGGGGAUAACGUAGGGAAACUUACGCUAAUACCGCAUACGACCUACGGGUGAAAGCAGGGGAUCUUCGGACCUUGCGCGAUUGAAUGAGCCGAUGUCGGAUUAGCUAGUUGGCGGGGUAAAGGCCCACCAAGGCGACGAUCCGUAGCUGGUCUGAGAGGAUGAUCCGCCACACGUGAACGGGAACACCGUCCAGGCUCCUAAGGGAGGCAGCAGUUGGGAAUAUUGGACAAUGGGCGCAAGCCUGAUCCAGCCAUACCGCGUGGGUGAAGAAGGCCUUCGGGUUGUAAAGCCCUUUUGUUGGGAAAGAAAAGCAGCAGGUUAAUACCCCGCUGUUCUGACGGUACCCAAAGAAUAAGCACCGGCUAACUUCGUG